GAAUUGCCUCCUAGACUGGCAGGUCUAGGGGGCGUGUUCUUAGUUGAUGAUUGAUGGGCAAGGGUCCAGCCCACUGUGGGAGGUACCAUUCCUAGGCAGGUAGCCGAGCAAGGCAAGGACCAGUAAGCAGCAUCCCUCCAUGGCCCCUGCUUUGAUUCCUGCCCUGAAUCAAAUAUGGAUGGAUGGGUGGACAGGUGGAUAGACUGUAACUUGUAAGUCAAAUAAACCCUUUCCUCCCCAAUUUGAUUUUGGUCAGUGUUUUGUUGCAACAGAAAGCAAAUUAGGACACCCCUUUAACCUAUGCUAACCUUUAGGACACCCCUUUAAUCUAUGCUAACCUUUCUGAACCACUGUCCACUCUGGCCUGGUCCUGAGUUUCUAGCUCAAACCUUAUCCUCCAGAGAAGCCUUUUCAUGUAAGCACAUGCCUCACUCACUCACUAUGUUGUACACAUACAACUACAUAGGCACAUAUGGACGUCCACUGAUAUAUGAGCACAUACACUCAUAAUUAUCCACACACACAUACACAUACCAGAAUAUUCACAUGUAUACACAUACAGUCAUCCACACAAUACUACACACAUAUGUGUAUAAGCAUCCAUGUGUGCACAUGUGUAUCUAUACAUACACUUACUUUAUAUACACAUGCAUUGCAGUUGCUAUUUUUGAUUGUCAACUUGACUACAUCUGGAAUUAACUAAAACCCCACAAUGUAGGGCACACUUGUAAGGGAUUUUUGCUUAAUUGGAAAUUGAAAAAGACACACCUUUAAUUUGGAUCGUGAAGCAGGCAGACACACCUUUAAUCCAGAUCAUCACUUGAGUUGGGGGAAAAAUAUCCUUUAAUCUGGGCCACACCUUCUGCUCAAAGCCUAUCUAAGGACCCAGAAGGAGGAGGAAAAGGAAGCUUUUGCUUUCUCUGUUUGCUCUUGCCUUGUUAGCUCUCCCAUUCCUUCACUGGCAUUAGAGAUUGCUUCUUCAGGAUUGCAGUGUACAGCAAAGACCAGCUGAGACUUCCAGCUUCAUGGACUGAGAAACUACUGGAUUCUUGAACUUUCCUUUCAUAUCUAGCAGUGUUAACGUAGCUGGAGCAGAGAACACUGACUAAUACAUGCAUACACAUAUAUUAACAUAUAUUGUUUAUGUACACAUAAAAAAAACAAAACAAAACAAAAAAAGCCGGGCAGUGGUGGCGUACUCCUUUAAUCCCAGCACUCCAGAGGCAGAGGCAGAGGCAGAGGCAGGCAGAUUUCUGACUUUGAGGCCAACCUGGUCUACAGAGUGAGUUCCAGGACAGCUAGGGCUACACAGAGAACCCUGUCUCAAAAACAAAACAAAACAAAACAAAAAAAACAUGUACACAUAUCUACACUUGCACACCCAUUGCAUAUACAUGUAAACAUAAAUAUACACAUUAAUAGCACAUAUCCACACAGCUCACACAGAAAAAUAUGCCUAUACAAUAUACAUACAUACAUGGAUACUCAUAGACACACCUGUACUAUACACACACACACACACACAUAUAUGUGUGUGUGCAUAUAUACUCAAGCACACAUACCACAUAUAUACAAGCCAAACAUGCAUAUAUGUAUAUAUGCAUAUACACACAAACACCUUGUAUGCACAUAAACACAUGCUCUUGCACAAGCACAAGUGGACAGUCAUAUCUACAGGUAUAUUCACAGCCAUAGUCAUACAGUGCUACAUGUUGUACAGGCACACAUGUGCAUAUAUAUAUAUAUAUAUAUAUAUAUAUAUAUACACCCACAUACAUUGCCUGUGCACUCAUACACAUCCAUACACAGGGGCACCCAAGCAUACACACAUAUAUGUACACAUGUACACACUCAGAAAAUUUCUGCAGUGUUCUUCUUGCCCACUUGGCAAAGCCUCUGUGUCUCAGAUUUUUUCCUGUGCAACACCAAGUUCAUGUCCACAGGCAAUGCCCUGACCACUGCCUGCAGGGCUGCCAUGUCCCAGGCCAGGACCGCCUGCACAUGGUUUGUUUACUGAAGAGGUAUCAGAUCUCUCAUCUGUCUGCCUGUCUAUCUAUCUAUCUAUCUAUCUAUCUAUCUAUCUAUCUAUCUAUCUAUCUAUCUAUCUAUCAAUAUAUAUACAUAGAUAGAUAGGUAGAUAGAUAGAUCUAUAUAUCUAUAUAUCUAUCAUCUAUUUAUCUCUCUGUGUAUCUGUCUCUCUCUUUCACUGUGUCUGUCUGUAUCUGUUGUCUCUGUGUGUCUGUGUCUGGCUCUCUGUUGUCUGUCUCUUUCUCUCUGUAUCUGUGUAUCUAUCUGUCCCUUUCUCUCUGUGUGUCUGUCUCUCUCUCUUUCUGUCUGUCUGUGUGUUUGUGUGUCUAGCACUCUCUCUCUCUCUCUCUCUCUUGCUGUUUCAUUGUUUGUUUUGAGACAGGGUCUCACUCAUCCAAACCGGCCUCAACUCCGAGAAUAACCUGAAAUUUUUGAUCCUUCUGCCUCUACCUCCCAAGUGCUGAGAUGACAGGUGUAUACCAUCACACCUGGCUUCUCUGGCCAUUUUUUUUUCUAGAAUCUUCUAGCUCUGGGCUGGAUGCUUUCUUCUUCUGAGACAGGUUUUUCUCAGUCCUCCUACCUUUUAAGCUUCUAUCAUGUUUAGAAAACAAACAUGGCAGUCUCUCUCCCUGGGCUGGCUCCCCUAAAAGACUUCAUCUCCUGGGUGGCCUCCUGCAUCCAAUUAGACCUCGCCUGAAUCUUUAACGUUGAUAGUUUAAAAAAAAAUCUUUUAAUCCAGGCUCCAGGCUUUGAUCUCGUAUCUUCUGGAAUCAUCUUUAUCUGUCACUUAAUUUUAUCAUUAUUUUAAAUCUCCCCACUUCUAUCCGGCAAGAGGACCUUUCAAGUCCCUCUUCCUGGCUUCUAAUUUUAACUCCCCGUGCGCUGAUUGAGACUCAGACGUCACCCCAAUCCUUUGCGGUUUCCACGUUUUCAUCUUGCUGGCAUUAUUCUUGGUCCUUUCAUCUGCUCUCCCUUUCUCUGUGUAAAGAAAACUCCUGGGCCCAUGACUGGAGCUCAGUCGGUAGAGCGCUUGCACACAAUCCUGGGUCCCAUCCCACAAUGCAUGAACCAUGGUGCUAUGCAGAGGCAGGAGGUCAUCUGCAGCUUAGAGUGAGUUGGAUGUCAGUCUGGGAUACAGGAGAUCAGGCCUAAAACAAUUCAAAACAAAGGCACCUACUUCUGUGGUUGUUUUUGGUUUGGGGAUUUUGUGUGUGUGUGUUUGGUUUGGUUUGGUAUUUUUUAGAUAAUGUGUUUGCGUCACACAUUCAUCCACUGGAAGUAUGCAAUUCACAGGGUUUUAUUACAAACCACAGAUUGUACACUUAUCGCCAUGCUUCUAGAACAUUCUCACCCCUGCCAAAAGAAACUCCCCAGCGCCUUAGCCACCACCCAGCUGCACCCCACCCAUCCCGCCCAGAGGUAGAGGUGCGUUUCUCAGCAAAUAGUUGCCUUUUAUCCUCGGGAAUAUGAUCUGCUGAACUUUCCCACUGCCAAUUAUCAAGCAAAGAGUGUGGAGCCUGGGUACCAUGGAGUGCAUCUGUAAUCCCAGCACCCAGGAGGGCAAGGCAGGAAGAUCCCAAGUUUGAGACCAGCCAGGGCUGGCAAGACCCUAUCUCAAAAAAUAAACAGAAGUGGGGGUUAGGGGUAUGGUUUCAUCGGUGGGGGGCUUGUUCCAAAAGCAUGGGGGCCUGAGGUUGAUCCUGAUGCCCACAUUAAAAAAAAAAAAUCAGACAUGACGCUGUGAACUUGUAAUCCCGACACUAGGGAGGUGGGGACAGGAGGAUUUGGGUGAUCGAUGGUCAGCGUCCUAGCCAAUUAGGUGAUCUCCUGCCUCCAAAACUAAGGUUGGGAGUGAGCAAGAAAGACCUGAUGUCCACCUCUGGCCUCCACGCACAUGCUAUACUAUACACACAUGCAGGUGCAAUUACAUGUACAGUGCACACACUCACAUGAACAAAUACAUAUACCACACAUAUACUAAUCAAUAAAUACAGCGCGCAAAACCCCCAGACCAAUUUGUAGGCUUAGUGCGAUGUAACAUAGCUCCAACCCCUACACUUGGUAGGUAGAGACGGGAAGAUCAGGACUUCAAGACUAGUAUGGGCAUCAUACGGAGUUUCUGGCCAGCGUGGAUGCCCUGAGUGAAAGUAUUUGCCAUAU
rnacentral:lncRNA from 1 species